rnacentral:rRNA from 1 species
UACGUAGGGACCAAGCGUUGUUCGGAUUUACUGGGCGUAAAGGGCGCGUAGGCGGCAAUUCAAGUCAGUUGUGAAAUCUCCGAGCUUAACUCGGAACGGUCAACUGAUACUGUUUUGCUAGAGUACAGGAGGGGCAAUCGGAAUUCUUGGUGUAGCGGUGAAAUGCGUAGAUAUCAAGAGGAACACCUGAGGUGAAGACGGGUUGCUGGGCUGAUACUGACGCUGAGGCGCGAAAGCUAGGGUAGCAAACGGG